AUUGAACGCUGGCGGCAGGCCUAACACAUGCAAGUCGAACGAGUGGCGGACGGGUGAGUAAUGUCUGGGAAACUGCCUGAUGGAGGGGGAUAACUACUGGAAACGGUAGCUAAUACCGCAUACCAUCGGAUGUGCCCAGAUGGGAUUAGCUAGUGGGUGGGGUAAAGGCUCACCUAGGCGACGAUCCCUCGCUGGUCUGAGAGGAUGACCAGCCACACUGGAACUGAGACACGGUCCAGACUCCUACUGGAGUCAGCAGUGGGGAAUAUUGCACAAUGGGGGCAAGCCUGAAGCAUCCAUGCCGCGUGUAUGAAGAAGGCCUUCGGGUUGUAAAGUACUUUCAGCGAGGAGGCGUUACUCGCAGAAGAAGCACCGGCUAACUCCAUGCCAGCAGCCGCGGUAAUAC
rnacentral:rRNA from 1 species